rnacentral:tRNA from 1 species
UGCGGGGUAGAGCAGUCUGGUAGCUCGUCGGGCUCAUAACCCGGAGGUCGCAGGUUCGAAUCCUGCCCCCGCGCCCA